UGAAGAAGGUUUUCGGAUCGUAAAACUCUGUUGUAAGGGAAGAACACGUACGAGAGUAACUGCUCGUACCUUGACGGUACCUUAUUAGAAAGCCACGGCUAACUACGUGCCAGCAGCCGCGGUAAUACGUAGGUGGCAAGCGUUGUCCGGAAUUAUUGGGCGUAAAGCGCGCGCAGGCGGUUCUUUAAGUCUGAUGUGAAAGCCCACGGCUCAACCGUGGAGGGUCAUUGGAAACUGGAGAACUUGAGUACAGAAGAGGAAAGCGGAAUUCCACGUGUAGCGGUGAAAUGCGUAGAGAUGUGGAGGAACACCAGUGGCGAAGGCGGCUUUC
rnacentral:rRNA from 2 species